rnacentral:rRNA from 1 species
CCUACGGGGGGCAGCAGUAGGGAAUCUUCCACAAUGGACGAAAGUCUGAUGGAGCAACGCCGCGUGAGUGAAGAAGGGUUUCGGCUCGUAAAGCUCUGUUGGUAGUGAAGAAAGAUAGAGGUAGUAACUGGCCUUUAUUUGACGGUAAUUACUUAGAAAGUCACGGCUAACUACGUGCCAGCAGCCGCGGUAAUACGUAGGUGGCAAGCGUUGUCCGGAUUUAUUGGGCGUAAAGCGAGUGCAGGCGG